ensembl:lncRNA UBL7-DT UBL7 divergent transcript
GCUCUUUGAAAUGUCCGGCGCCGGAAUGUCUGGGUGCUUUGGUUGGAGAGGGUCCCAUUUCCAGUCAUUCUUCAGCCUGGUGAUUCCCGCGCUCCCCUGAGGAGCAUAUGAAGUACGUCGGUUCUGCCAGGUUGGAACGCGCUGCUGGACACUCGGCCGUAAGGCGGAUCCCGGAUCCCCUCCCACUCCGACCCUUCCCUCCAGAAGGGCCGGUUCCCAAACGGCCCCUUUAGACACAUCCAAGCGGUUGCCGACGGCCCUCACGAUGAAAACUGCUGUCCGUUGGUGAAGGCAGCCUCUUCUGUGCUCCUCGCCGCUGACUUCCUGAGGCGGACCUACCUGUGGAGGCAUACCAGGAACCAGACGAUGACCCCCUCCAAAAGUUGGGUCUUUGAGGAGAGCUACUAACUUGGGUUCCUGGUACACCCUCUACAUGCAGUGGUGAAGCUUAUCUAACAGUCAUUCAUAGAAUCAGUUUGGGAAGGGGAAUUUUCACUGAACUCUCAUAGAGAAACUGUGUUUUAGAUAACAGAAAGUUCUGCACGGUUAAAAUGGAACAGAAAUUUUUUUGCACAGAAAUUAGGAUUACCGAAAAUACUGAAGAAAGACUACCUCUGAUUGGACUCUUCUCAAGGAAUUAAUAAUUCAAGAACUAAGGAAAGAAAAAAGUGAUUAUAUGAAAAUACUGAAGUUGAUCGUAGCAGCUGAAGGCUGAUCCUGUGUGGGUAAAUGUAAACGCUGAAUUCCCACAUUCCAAUGUGCGACCUGGGAUUAAGGCAGCAAUUGAGCAGGGCUGAAGUACAUUGGUGCAAUCUUGGCUCACUGCAUCUCCACCCCAGGUUCAAGCGAUUCUCCUGCCUCAGCCUCCCAAGCAGCUGGGAUUACAGAAUGUCACAUAAAUGGAAUCAUACUGUGUCCGGAAUUGGUGGGUUCUUGGUCUCACUGACUUCAAGAAUGACGCCAUGGGCCCUCGCGGUGAGUGUUACAGCUCUUAAGGUGGCGCGUCUGGAGUUUGUUCCUUCUGAUGUUCGGAUGUGUUCGGAGUUUCUUCCUUCUGGUGGGUUCGUGGUCUCGCUGGCUCAGGAGUGAAGCUGCAGACUUUCGCGGGCUGGCCGACUGCUCCGAGUGCGGGGCCGCCAAGCCCACGCCCACCCGGAACUCCAGCUGGCCCGCAAGCGCCUCACGCAGCCCCGGUUCCCGCUCGCGCCUCUCCCUCCACACCUCCCUGCAAGCUGAGGGAGUGGGCUCCAGCCUUGGCCAGCCCAGAAAGGGGCUCCCACAGUGCAGUGGUGGGCUGAAGGGCUCCUCAAGUGCCGCCAAACUGGGAGCCCAGGCAGAGGAGGUGCCGAGAGCAAGCGAGGGCUCUGAGGACUGCCAGCACGCUGUCACCUCUCAAUACAAUUUCAUCUCUCUCUCUGCUAUGGACACAGAUGGCUUCACUCCAUCCUGUAUUCUUCGGACCAUGAUAAAAUUCCAGACUCUCGGUAGUUUUUGCGUUCCAAGAAGUAGAGCCUAGAGUGGUGGCCUAUAAUUACAGUUACUCAGGAGGCUGAGGCAGGAGGAUCCUUUGAGUCCAGCAGUUUGAGGCCAGCCUGGACACCACAGCAAGACCACCAAUAAAUAAAUAAAUAAAUGGAACAU